rnacentral:piRNA from 1 species
CAGUAAGCAGACCCUCUUCAGACUUGGC